UAAUGCCCGAUGGGCUAAUGUCACCUCUACUAGCAGGAGCUAGAACAAAGUCUCGUAUGGACUGACUUUACAAAGAGCUGAUAGCAUAUACAGUCAAGGUUUACAUGCAGAACAUCCCCAGAAGGGACCAAGGCUGUCUACCAGAAAGCCAAAGGUCGUAUUCGGUUUGAUCAUUAGGAAUCAGUGGGCUCUCAGCCUAGGCGCAAGGCAUUCGUUUCCAAGGUCGGUUCAGUUCAUGCAUAAUUAGGACAAGCUUGACGUAUCGCCUAAGAGUUAUUUAUGUAUUAGCUUCAUUUUGUUGAUGAUUUCUAGUGCUUAAAUCUCUUGAUAUUCCUGGCCCCAUAAUCUUACAAUUGCGUCAUUCUUUUUGUCUGUAUGAGUUUAAUACUGGAUUCGCAAUAGCAGUUUAACCUCCCUGUUGGGCUUUUUUG